rnacentral:rRNA from 1 species
UACGGGGGGGGCAAGCGUUGUUCGGAAUUACUGGGCGUAAAGGGCUCGUAGGUGGCCAACUAAGUCAGACGUGAAAUCCCUCGGCUUAACCGGGGAACUGCGUCUGAUACUGGAUGGCUUGAGUUUGGGAGAGGGACGCGGAAUUCCAGGUGUAGCGGUGAAAUGCGUAGAUAUCUGGAGGAACACCGGUGGCGAAGGCGGCGUUCUGGACUGUUUCUGACACUGAAAAACGAAAGCCAGGGGAGCAAACGGG